rnacentral:rRNA from 1 species
GAUGAACGCUGGCGGCGUGCCUAAUACAUGCAAGUCGAGCGAAUGGAUUGAGAGCUUGCUCUUAUGAAGUUAGCGGCGGAUGGGUGAGUAACACGUGGGUAACCUGCCCAUAAGACUGGGAUAACUCCGGGAAACCGGGGCUAAUACCGGAUAACAUUUUGAACCGCAUGGUUCGAAAUUGAAAGGCGGCUUCGGCUGUCACUUAUGGAUGGACCCGGGUCGCAUUAGCUAGUUGGUGAGGUAACGGCUCACCAAGGCAACGAUGCGUAGCCGACCUGAGAGGGUGAUCGGCCACACUGGGACUGAGACACGGCCCAGACUCCUACGGGAGGCAGCAGUAGGGAAUCUUCCGCAAUGGACGAAAGUCUGACGGAGCAACGCCGCGUGAGUGAUGAAGGCUUUCGGGUCGUAAAACUCUGUUGUUAGGGAAGAACAAGUGCUAGUUGAAUAAGCUGGCACCUUGACGGUACCUAACCAGAAAGCCACGGCUAACUACGUGCCAGCAGCCGCUGUAA